rnacentral:rRNA from 1 species
GACGAACGCUGGCGGCGUGCUUAACACAUGCAAGUCGAACGGAAAGGCCCUGCUUUUGUGGGGUGCUCGAGGGGCGAACGGGUGAGUAACACGUGAGUAACCUGCCCUUGACUUUGGGAUAACCUCAGGAAACUGGGGCUAAUACCGGAUAGGAGCUCCUGCUGCAAGGGGGGGGUUGGAAAGUUUCGGCGGUUGGGGAUGGACUCGCGGCUUAUCAGCUUGUUGGGUGGGUAGGGGCUUACCAAGGCAUUGACGGGUAGCCGACCUGGGAGGGUGACCGGCCACAUUGGGACUGAGAUACGACCCAGACUCCUACGGGAGGCAGCGGUGGGGAAUAUUGUCCAAUGGGCGGAAGCCUGAUGCAACGACGCCGCGUGCGGGAUGACGGCAUUGGGGUUGUAAAGCGCUUUCGCCUGUGACGAAGCGUGAGUGACGGUAAUGGGUAAAGAAGCACCGGCUAACUACGUG